GAUGAACGCUGGCGGCGUGCCUAAUACAUGCAAGUCGAGCGAACAGACGAGGAGCUUGCUCCUCUGACGUUAGCGGCGGACGGGUGAGUAAGACGUGGAUAACCUACCUAUAAGACUGGGAUAACUUCGGGAAACCGGAGCUAAUACCGGAUAAUAUAUUGAACCGCAUGGUUCAAUAGUGAAAGACGGUUUUGCUGUCACUUAUAGAUGGAUCCGCGCCGCAUUAGCUAGUUGGUAAGGUAACGGCUUACCAAGGCAACGAUGCGUAGCCGACCUGAGAGGGUGAUCGGCCACACUGGAACUGAGACACGGUCCAGACUCCUACGGGAGGCAGCAGUAGGGAAUCUUCCGCAAUGGGCGAAAGCUUGACGGAGCAACGCCGCGUGAGUGAUGAAGGUCUUCGGAUCGUAAAACUCUGUUAUUAGGGAAGAACAAAUGUGUAAGUAACUAUGCACGUCUUGACGGUACCUAAUCAGAAAGCCACGGCUAGCUACGUG
rnacentral:rRNA from 1 species